GUGGGGAAUAUUGGGCAAUGGAGGCAACUCUGACCCAGCAACGCCGCGUGAAUGAUGAAGGUCUUCGGAUUGUAAAGUUCUGUGAUGGGGGACGAAGAAAGUGACGGUACCCCAAUAGCAAGCUACGGCUAACUACGUGCCAGCAGCCGCGGUAAUACGUAGGUAGCAAGCGUUGUCCGGAAUGACUGGGCGUAAAGGGUGCGUAGGUGGUUUAACAAGUUGGUAGUGAAAUUCCGAGGCUUAACUUCGGCGCUACUGCCAAGACUGUUGAACUUGAGUACAGGAGAGGUAAGUGGAAUUCCUAGUGUAGCGGUGGAAUGCGUAGAUAUUAGGAGGAACACCAGUGGCGAAGGCGACUUACUGGCCUGCAACUGACACUGAGGCACGAAAGCGUGGGGAGCAAACAGGAUUAGAAACCCGAGUAGUCC
rnacentral:rRNA from 1 species